UAAGAAAAAAAGAAACCACAUUAUUUUAUAUUUUAUAUGCGCCAUUUAAUCUUUAAUUGAUAUACAUUUAUAUUAUACGAAGACGUUAAAAACGAUUCUGAGUGUAGUUCGGGUAUAUGUGUGAACUUUAAAUAGAUAAAUUUAGAUAAAAAAAAUAUUGCAUUCAACUUAUCUCAUUUUUGGUUUACCCGUAAAAUUGUUAUUCACUUAAAUCGGAACGUAAUACAGUUUAUAUAAAAAAAAUCCAAAAACUACAAAUUUUCAAU